GGUUGCGUGGCCCAGUGGUUAAGGCAUCUGCUUUACAGCACCGCGUCGAUGAAGGUCGAAAACCCGAAAGGUCUCCACCGGUUUCACGCGGGUACGUAUCGCAGAGGAUCGCAGGUUCGAGCCCUGCCGCGAUCA